rnacentral:rRNA from 1 species
UGGGGAAUAUUGCACAAUGGGCGCAAGCCUGAUGCAGCCAUGCCGCGUGUAUGAAGAAGGCCUUCGGGUUGUAAAGUACUUUCAGCGGGGAGGAAGGCGAUAAGGUUAAUAACCUUGUCGAUUGACGUUACCCGCAGAAGAAGCACCGGCUAACUCCGUGCCAGCAGCCGCGGUAAUACGGAGGGUGCAAGCGUUAAUCGGAAUUAAUGGGCGUAAAGCGCACGCAGGCGGUCAGUCAAGUCGGAUGUGAAAUCCCCGGGCUCAACCUGGGAACUGCAUUCGAAACUGGCAGGCUAGAGUCUUGUAGAGGGGGGUAGAAUUCCAGGUGUAGCGGUGAAAUGCGUAGAGAUCUGGAGGAAUACCGGUGGCGAAGGCGGCCCCCUGGACAAAGACUGACGCUCAGGUGCGAAAGCGUGGGGAGCAAACA